CCUACGGGGGGCUGCAGUGGGGAAUAUUGCACAAUGGGGGAAACCCUGAUGCAGCGACGCCGCGUGAGUGAAGAAGUAUUUCGGUACGUAAAGCUCUAUCAGCAGGGAAGAAAAUGACGGUACCUGACUAAGAAGCCCCGGCUAACUACGUGCCAGCAGCCGCGGUAAUACGUAGGGGGCAAGCGUUAUCCGGAUUUACUGGGUGUAAAGGGAGCGUAGACGGCAGCGCAAGUCUGGAGUGAAAUCCCAUGGCUCAACCAUGGAACUGCUUUGGAAACUGUGCAGCUAGAGUGCAGGAGAGGUAAGCGGAAUUCCUAGUGUAGCGGUGAAAUGCGUAGAUAUUAGGAGGAACACCAGUGGCGAAGGCGGCUUACUGGACUGUAACUGACGUUGAGGCUCGAAAGCGUGGGGAGCAAACAGGAUUAGAUACCCCAGUAGUC
rnacentral:rRNA from 1 species